rnacentral:lncRNA from 1 species
GCAGCGGGAUCAAGUGUGACUGGAUGUGACUGCCGCCUGGUGAACAGUGCGGGUUAAUUAAAGGAGGAAAGUCACUGAGCCUCGCCCUCCACCACCACUACCACCACCACCACCAACUGAUCUAUCCUCCACGAAGGCCGCGGCAGGGCAGGCCACAGGAUGCAGGACGAGGCAGUGCUGCUCUUUGUGAUGACAUGACAGUCUUCUGCUCAAGGCGGUGAAGAAAAUAGCGUGUUGUUACUAUGUAGAUGAGAGAGAUGGAGAGAGGCGGACGAAAGCGAGGAGGAAGAGAGGCAGACAGAUGAACCGCAAGGACUAAGAAUUUGUUGAGGCGCUGCGUCGUCCUGCUGUGCGUGACUCCGAUGCAGUUCCAGCAGACGUGUCCUUCGUCAUCAGCUCCCGAACUUCUCGGAUUUCAACGCAACAGUGUGGCCGUGUGGCUCCAGAUCACUCCCUACGGAUGGCAAGACUGAGUGCGGCUGUGGUGGCUAGCAUCAGACAACCGAGAUUACGAGACCGAUACGAGCGACUGAGAAGACGGACGAACAGCAAGAUCCAGAAGGAGUGCUGAUGAUGGACUGCCUGGAGGACAAGACAAGCAACGCCAGCUUCAUCAACCUGGACACCACUCAGCGGCGGGGCCAUGGACUUCAUGACUGAUGGUUAUACACCGUUAUGAGUUGUCAACAAGGAAGAUGUGGGGUUGGAUAGGGUCUUCUGUGUGCGUGGAACUUGUUGGCCUGAGUGAAGAAAUAAGUGUACCGGCGCAAGGAAGAUACGACCCGCAUGAAACUGUAGAAUGUAAGAGAAUGAUGGAAAAUUUGAGUUCAGUGAUUGGAAUUUAAUUUUAACAGGGGAAUAAUAACUGAACAUAAUAACUGAAAAUAAUAACUGAAAAACCCACCUUAAUAAUAAGAUGCAAUAUGGAGGAAAGGAGAUAAAACAUGAUGUAACUAACUCCCUCCUCUCCCUCUCCCCCUCCUUCCCCUUCUCUCCCUCUCCCCCUCUCCCUCCUUCUC